rnacentral:rRNA from 1 species
GCUCAGGAUGAACGCUAGCGGCAGGCCUAACACAUGCAAGUCGAGGGGUAACAGGGAGCUUGCUCCGCUGACGACCGGCGCACGGGUGCGCAACGCGUAUGCAAUCUACCUCUUACUAAGGGAUAGCCCAGAGAAAUUUGGAUUAAUAUCUUAUGUGAUAUUAGACUGGCAUCGGUUUAAUAUUAAAGGUUACGGUAAGAGAUGAGCAUGCGUCUCAUUAGUUAGUUGGUAAGGUAACGGCUUACCAAGACUUCGAUGAGUAGGGGUCCUGAGAGGGAGAUCCCCCACACUGGUACUGAGACACGGACCAGACUCCUACGGGAGGCAGCAGUGAGGAAUAUUGGACAAUGGACGGAAGUCUGAUCCAGCCAUGCCGCGUGUAGGAAGACUGCCCUAUGGGUUGUAAACUACUUUUAUACAGGAAGAAUAAGAUCUACGUGUAGAUUGAUGACGGUACUGUAAGAAUAAGGACCGGCUAACUCCGUGCCAGCAGCCGCGGUAAUACGGAGGGUCCGAGCGUUAUCCGGAAUUAUUGGGUUUAAAGGGUCCGUAGGCGGGCUGUUAAGUCAGAGGUGAAAUGCUGCGGCUCAACCGUAUGCACUGCCUUUGAUACUGGCGGUCUUGAGUUAUAGUGAAGUGGCUAGAAUAAGUAGUGUAGCGGUGAAAUGCAUAGAUAUUACUUAGAAUACCGAUUGCGAAGGCAGGUCACUAACUAUACACUGACGCUGAUGGACGAAAGCGUGGGUAGCGAACAGGAUUAGAUACCCUGGUAGUCCACGCCGUAAACGAUGGAUACUAGCUGUUCGGUUUUCGGACUGAGCGGCCAAGCGAAAGUGAUAAGUAUCCCACCU